CAUAGAGUGUUGAGUUUGGAAGUAAAUUGAAAAUAUGGUGACUUAGUGGAAGUUUACAUACUGAGAUUUAGACACCCUCAGUCUUCAACUCUUUCUAGGCUGUCAGAAUUUUGACAGCCACAUCUUUAUCCUUUAAGAAAGAGAUGAAAGCCUUCUCUGGAAAUAUGACCAACUCAAGAAAAAUGAUCUAAAGGUACUGACAUAAGGGAUCCCACAGGGAGCCCAGUGAGAUAUCAACAGUGAAGUCCGUCUGCAGGCAUUUUCUUUAAGGAAGUAAAAUUGACAAGAAGUCUAAUACACCAAGGAUGUUUACAUAGCUGGAGGAGAGUUUGGAGCUACAUUACCAAUGAGUACAUGAAAAAAAUAAGGGUGUGUUUAUAGAAAGAUAAGCAAACAAACAAACACAAGGCAACAAUUAACUCCAGGGAAAAAACAAAGUUGUCCAGGAAUAGAAAAGUCAUUAUAAUAUAUUACAUGGCUCAGUUAUAAAAUGUGUUUACAUGGUUGUAAUCAUCUAAAUACAGAAUAUUUAUCCUAUGAAAAUUCUAAACUGUAAGUAGGAUGAAGGGAUGUAAAAUGUAUGUUGGGAACAGGGCUGUGUGUGUGAGAAAACACACUAUCAAUCAUUAUCUUCCGCAGUAGAUAAUUAAUAGGUAAUUAAUAGAUUAUGUCUAAAAAUAUAAAAAUCAGGAAGUAAUAUAGUGAUCAUUUUCAUCAAACUAGCAAACACAGGAGAAGAAGAAUUGAGAAGAAAGCAAUAGAUUUAUUACCGAAGUGUGGCUUUUGAGGUAUCUGUGAAACAGCCAAAUGGAGCUAUCUUCUAAGCAGUUGGCUUUAUGGGCCAAAUGCCAUCCAGCUCCAACAAAGGUUUUUGGAGAGAAUUAAGCCCUAUAAGAAAUGAUUCUAAUGGCUAUUUUCCCAAUUCUCCCCCUGGAUGAUUGCUAGCUACUUUCAUUCUAGAUACAUAGAAGUUAAUGAAUUACAUACAAUGGAUGCACUAGGGCUUAAAUGCCCUUAGUGCCAACUGAGAAGGACUAGGUCAGCAGGGUUACAAGUGGAGAAUUGGGGUCUUUUCCAGAGGAGUAGAUUAAAUAGGAAAAGGGCCAAGGAUAACUGCUCGAGGGCAUUAACAGUUUAGGCAUGGACAGGAAAAGAGAUAAAUGCAAAGAGAUUAAGAAAGGGUAACUAGAAUAGAAAUUAAAAGGAAAAACAAAACAAAGCAAAACUCAGGAGAAUGUGGCAUCCAGAAGCUAAAAGAUAAGAUACUUGAAGAAGCGGGUACAUGGGAGGUAACAAAAGUAGCAGAAAGAUGAUGUGAAAUAAGGACUAUAUGGAGGCUGCUGAUUUUACCUAUAAGGAGAUUGUCAGUGACCUUAGCUGGAACAAUUUUACUGGAGUAGAUAGUUUUCAGAAGCUAGAUUGCAGUGUACUUGGGGCCCAGGAAUCAGUCAGCUGAAACUAGUUAUUUCUUAAUGCCCACCUCUCUAACCCAAGCUAAAGCUCCAUUCAUGCUCUGGGUCCCAUCUCCUAGGAGGGAGCUGUAUUUUCACCCAGGACACCACUUAGACACACAACACCGGGUUUCCACAAUGACUUUGUGAGAACAUUUCUAGGGAUUCAUGGACCCUGGCCAAUCCUAUUACUGCAUUCUUUAGAUUAGUUAUUUUUAUGUUGUUUUAAAUGUGAAACCUUAAAUGGGAUGGAGUGCUGAAACUGACCAGGGAAAGAGUGUAUUGAAUUACUUUGUCCUUCAAGUAAUUUCUCAGCAUCAGCCAAGAACUCUUCACUUGGAAAAGUAAAAGCUUCCCUAUAAUAUGAAUGGGUUUGUUGAUAUGUCACUGGUGAUAUCCCUCCCUCUUUCUUUCCUUCCUUCCUUUCUCUCUCCCUCCCUCCCACUCUUCCUCCCUCCUUCCUAAUAUUUACUGCUAUCCUGGGAGUUACAGAGAUAAAAAACAAAAGGUGGAUAUGGACUUUGCUCUUAAGAAAGUAGAAGCAAGGGAAUAGUUUGUGUGCCCAGAUAGCAUCAGGACAAGGUACAAGGGUCAUAUGGAGGGUGUUCUAUCCAAAUCAGCCACUCACUGGAGAACUAAAAGGAGGUGGAAUCUUCUAGGAAGUAUGUCAGUAGUUCUGCUUUGACAUUGCCCUUCAUCUGAGCUGAGUGGGACCCCAGUCUUUCCAGAGCUGUGUGGGUUGUAAACUCUCAACGUAGGGCUACCUCCAGAUACAGCAACCAGGCCACAUGUGCAAAGGGAGGGUGAAGCGGGUGUGUGUGUGUGGGGGGGGGUGGGUAUGUGGGAUGUGUCCCAUCUUAUGCUUGUGUUUGGAAUUUGUUAGAGUGUUCUUUCCCUGUAAAGGGAUUAUAAAUGGGGGUUCACAAAUAAAAUACUUUUGACUUGCUGGGUACUUCAAAGAGUGUAUUAAAAUUUAAAUGAGUGUCAAUCCCUAUAAUUGGAAGAUUCAUAUCUUAUUGUGGCAUAACCAGAUAUGGGGCUAUGAAAUCAAAUCAGAUUUAUCAUAAUAUCCCAAAAUAUCUCCCAAAUAUCUCUUUCUUUUUUUUCGCAUGAGUUUCUCUCUCCAAAUAUUUCUAGGCCCUCCCUCCGACCUGUUCAUGCAUCUCAAAUGGGCCCUUGUUCUCCUGGGAUCACCUUAGGUAGCAUGUGUGUGGGAUCAGUGGUUUCUCACAGCUAUAAUGGGAGCUCUGCCAGCAGCUCUGACAUCCCUGGGCUCAGCUGGCCACAAGACGUUGGCCAGCCAGUGAUGCUGAGUAUAUGUCCGGGUGGCGUCCUGGUCUCUGGACCUCUUCUCCCUCUGGAGAGUUAGGAAAUGCCUUUGUCUUCUGACCAGCUCUUUCAAAAGUGUUUUGAACAGCAGUGCUAUUGCACCUCAGCAGUAUAGUCUCUCUUUGGCCCCACAGCCUAUGUUUUCCCUCAUUUAGGGGGAGUUUGGCUGCCUAACAUCAGGUUCCACAUCAUACCUUCUGGAGCUUUUGUGUCUCCAAAUCCUAGGCUCAUUCUACCACCAAUCUCAGUAUAUUUUUGUUUUACUGUCGGGCUCCAAGAAUACCAGGGCUAUUUCUGGACAGCUCUUUUGGGGCUCUUAGAAUAUUUCAUGGCAGUUAAGAAGUUCCUUGAACCUGCUCAUGGAACCCCAAGAACUUCUUACGGAAGAUGUAUCCUAACUUCACCACACUGACUCAGCUAGCUAGCUAUGCCUGCUCCCCAGUUGGGGGGAGGGUAGGAGAAGGGGUACAUUUUGGUUUCAGUGUUAUGGAAACCAAUAGAAUUUUGUUUAAAAAUGCAAGUUGUACAGUGAAGCUUUGAAGGGCUACUUAGGGUAGGGGGUGGUAGGGUGGACAUACAAAAACCAACAACAACAAACAAACAAGCAAAACAAAACAAAACACGGAAAGUUUUGGUUGAAAUUUUCAAACCUGUGUCAUUGCCAGCAGGGGCAGCUCCAUAGGUUUGAGUGAACUUAGCUCUUUAAAUAACAUGCUAUUUAUUAUAGCUUCCUGCAGAGUCUCAGCUGUUUGUGGAUUAGCCUCUGAAACUCUUCAUAUUGCUAUAAAAUUUGUAAUAGAGGAGAUGGAAUGUGGGUAUUGUGGGACGAUGGGAGAACAAAGCAUAGUUGAAUGUGAAGUAGCAAAGGUGGGGGGGAGUGGAAACGCCUUGGGGGAAGAGGCCACUUGCCAUUCGUUUUGGCUGCCUCCCUACUCUCCCUCCCUUCUUCAUCUUGGAGACAUUUUCCACCCAGGCAGAGAGCAGAGUCUUCCUCUCUCUGUAAAAGAUAGAUACCAUUCCAGCUUUCCUUUCAGUGAGACCAUAGACAUGUAACUAGUGAUUCAUGAAUCAGAUUCACCCAGAGUGGACUUUGACUUGGAAGCUAUGACUCCAGAAGAGCUGGAGCUAUCCAGAUACCAUCUUGGUGAGGCUAAUGGUGCCGAUGGAAGCCAGAUCUGGUUUCCAGAGUCUGUGGUGGUAAUGGGUCUAGCACCAAGGGCCAAUGUCCAGGAUCAGCUCAGGGGAAGAAGCAUUUGGGUCAGUGUCCAGUAGAAGCAACAACUAUGUCUUCACAGAAUCAGUUCUACAAGAGAAUUUUAGAUGGGUGACAUUUAGGCCUGAUUCUGAUCUUCCUGGAGUCUCCAUGAGCAACUCAACAUCUUUUAAUAAUUCCCUUUCUGCCUUAAUCACCCAGCUUGCAACUAAGAACCUUGACACCCAAACGAAUGAACUAGCAAAAUUUAGAUUACAAAAGGUUUGAAAAGGGGAAGAAAAGGCAUCCAUAAUCCUGUCAUUUUAACACAACAGUAAUGACACCUGUAUUUCCCUUGUGACAUUUUGCCACAGUGUUUGUUUCCAUGGAACACUAGAUCUCAUGUGGACAGAAAAAGUUCCCAUUGUCAAAUGAUUUUGGAAAUUUAAAAAUGUUUUGAUAGUACAGUUUUCUUUACUUCAAUACAUAAGUUCUCAAAAUCUUUAGUAUGUUAGUGCACUUUGUGAAGAUUCAAGAAAGAGACAGACAAUUACAUUUUCUGUCCCCCUACCCAGAACAUUCCAAGGAUUUCUGAGGCGCACGUGCUGCAAAAUGCUGCCUUAUGCUCUUUCCCCAUACACAAGUGAGCUACACAAUGGUCCUUAGAUGGCACUGGCAGUUUGGGGCCCUGCUUUCUUCAAGGUCGUAUCAUAGGAGCUUUGAGGGCAAGACUUUGCACGGUGGAAGCUUCCCUCCUUUUGUCUCUAGGGUCUCUAAGUGUGAACCCAGGAUCACUCAGUAGGCAAGAAGGUGGGAACCCCUGCCUUAUAUGCCAGCAGAUCACAUAUUGGUACUUAGUCUCUGCUUAUGUGUACUCCUGGUAGAAGCAGGUUGUUAGGACUUGAAAUUAGGGUCAAGACCUUCUAAUGCUGAAAGGAACUGAAUUUAUCUGGGCGUUCCAAGUCCCUGAAGAGCAUAUCCAACUCCCUGUCCGCUCCUCAGACGUAAGGGUGAGACCUCACCCUGUGAUUUCACACAGGCUAUAAAGGACAGAAGAAAAACUGAUUUUCCUCAAAGUAAGAAACUCCAAGCACAAAGGGCUGACUGCAGCAGGGUUUGUCAUGCAAAUGACUCAGGGUAUCCUUGUAGCUCCCCAUUAUGCCUACUGUGGAAAGGGCAGAGAUUUAAGAAAACUUAACUCAGAGGAAAGAAAAAUAAUGGAUCAUCUAUGUGGCUCUAGCUGUUAAAGGAAAAAAGAAGAAAAAACAACUCUUUCACUUUAUUAUUUUUUACACCUGCUGAGUUGGCCCCAGGAAAUAUGACUCUAACUGAUAGCUCUAUCUCAUCUGUGCUACUUUACUCUGCUGGUUAGAACGGGGCGCUGGGAAAGGCACAGACGUGAAUCUCCAUGCGAAUUUAUAUUCAAUGAGGAUAGAGACUUGGUUUUUCCCCUGCUGUAUCCUCAGGAUGUAGAUUAGUUGCACUAUAAAUAUUUGUAGAGUUAAUGAAAUCUGUCUCCUUAUAGAAGAGCUAGUUUUGCUGGGCCCAUAGAUAGAGGUUAAACCUCUAAUCCCCGCCAGCCCGAAACCUCUAGUUGGGUGUAUAUUGUGCAUAAAGGCAAUUACCAUCAUAUUUCUCUAAGUUCCCUUUGAAAAGUUGUCAAGGAACAGAUCUCUGCACUGUCCUGUUUAGUAGGAAUUCACUCUGAAUUAUCUCCUUGUUACAAACUUGCACAUUUAGAAAAUGCAUAGCUCUGUUUCUGGUAAUAUAAUGGCUAGGUAUCUGGAACAGUCUUCCUGCUAAUGACUAUGAAAAAUGCUGGUUAAUGUAUAUUUUAAAAAUCUUCUUAAAAGCAUUGAAAACUGAUAAAAUGUAGCAGGAGAAUUUAUCUGUCCUACAUCUAAGGGAAGACAGGAAGCAAGAGAAAUAAGUAAAGUUUUUACCCUGAGGGCUGUUGCUGAACCUGAUGAACCUGAGUUUCAGUUUUCAUAGUUUUUUAGGACAAGUGCCUGUGUGUGUGUGUGUGUGUGUGUGUGUGUGUGUGAGAGAGAGAGAGAGAGAGAGAGAGACAGAGAGAGACAGAGAGAAACAGAGAGAGGAAGAAAGUGAAGUCUGAUGACUGUUCCCAAAUCCUAGAACCCCUUUGAAUCAUGUGCUAAGUGUCAGUAUGAGCCAGAAUGACACCCAACAGCACUCCUUCCACACACAGGACAUUUCAAGGCAAGAUGCCUAAGCACCAGACAAAACAGGAGAUGAUGAUGAUUAUAAUAAAAAUAACAACAAUAAAAAUAAUAAUAAAGGAGUUCCUGUCAUGGCUCAGCGGUUAACGAGUCUAACUAGCAUCCAUGAGGAUGCAGGUUCAAUCCCUGGCCUUGCUCAGUGGGUUAAGGAUCUGGCGUUGCUCAGAACUGUGAUGUAGCCUGGCAGCUAUAGCUCCAAUUUGACCCCUAGCCUGGAAACUACCAUAUGCCGCUAGUGCAGCCCU
rnacentral:lncRNA from 1 species